CAAUGUGGAGACUAUAUACAGGGGGGUACCGGUACAGAGUCAAUGUGGAGACUAUAUACAGGGGGGUACCGGUACAGAGUCAAUGUGGAGACUAUAUACAGGGGGGUACCGGUACAGAGUCAAUGUGGAGACUAUAUACAGGGGGUACCGGUACAGAGUCAAUAUGGAGACUAUAUACAGGGGGUACCGGUACAGAGUCAAUAUGGAGACUAUAUACAGGGGGGUACCGGUACAGAGUCAAUAUGGAGACUAUAUACAGGGGGUACCGGUACAGAGUCAAUAUGGAGACUAUAUACAGGGGGUACCGGUACAGAGUCAAUGUGGAGGCUAUAUACAGGGGGUACCUGUACAGAGUCAAUGUGGAGGCUAUAUACAGGGGGUACCGGUAGAGAGUCAAUGUGGAGACUAUAUACAGGGGGUACCGGUACAGAGUCAAUGUGGAGGCUAUAUACAGGGGGUACCGGUAC
rnacentral:lncRNA from 1 species